AUGAGAAUUGGUGGAUGGAAAGAAAAAUUGUUAUCCGCUGGAGGAAAGGAAAUUUUGCUCAAAUCUAUUGUACAAUCUAUCGCAACCUAUGCCAUGUCCGUCUUUGAAAUUCCUAAUUGCAAAGGAAUUAUUGAUGCGAUGUCACAAUUUUGGUGGGAUGACGAGGACAAUCAGAAGAGGAUGCAUUGGAUGGCGUGGUGAAAGAUGUGUGUCCCAAAAAACCAGGGAGGUAUGGGUGAGGGAGUUCUGGAUUUGGGGGUUCUCAGGUGUCCGGCCUAUUCGAUAUGGGCGGGCUGA
rnacentral:rRNA from 1 species